rnacentral:rRNA from 1 species
CCUCUGGAGCGGAGGAUAUUCCGAGUUACACUCCCAACCCAUGUGAACCAUACCAAACUGUUGCCUCGGCGGGGUCACGCCCCGGGUGCGUCGCAGCCCCGGAACCAGGCGCCCGCCGGAGGGACCAACCAAACUCUUUCUGUAGUCCCCUCGCGGACGUUAUUUCUUACAGCUCUGAGCAAAAAUUCAAAAUGAAUCAAAACUUUCAACAACGGAUCUCUUGGUUCUGGCAUCGAUGAAGAACGCAGCGAAAUGCGAUAAGUAAUGUGAAUUGCAGAAUUCAGUGAAUCAUCGAAUCUUUGAACGCACAUUGCGCCCGCCAGUAUUCUGGCGGGCAUGCCUGUCCGAGCGUCAUUUCAACCCUCGAACCCCUCCGGGGGGUCGGCGUUGGGGAUCGGGAACCCCUAAGACGGGAUCCCGGCCCCGAAAUACAGUGGCGGUCUCGCCGCAGCCUCUCCUGCGCAGUAGUUUGCACAACUCGCACCGGGAGCGCGGCGCGUCCACGUCCGUAAAACACCCAACUUCUGAAAUGUUGACCUCGGAUCAGGUAGGAAUACCCGCUGAACUUAAGCAUAUCA